rnacentral:rRNA from 1 species
UGGGGAAUAUUGCACAAUGGGCGCAAGCCUGAUGCAGCCAUGCCGCGUGUAUGAAGAAGGCCUUCGGGUUGUAAAGUACUUUCAGCGAGGAGGAAGGCGUUGUGGUUAAUAACCGCAACGAUUGACGUUACUCGCAGAAGAAGCACCGGCUAACUCCGUGCCAGCAGCCGCGGUAAUACGGAGGGUGCAAGCGUUAAUCGGAAUUACUGGGCGUAAAGCGCACGCAGGCGGUCUGUCAAGCCGGAUGUGAAAUCCCCGGGCUCAACCUGGGAACUGCAUCCGAAACUGGCAGGCUAGAGUCUUGUAGAGGGGGGUAGAAUUCCAGGUGUAGCGGUGAAAUGCGUAGAGAUCUGGAGGAAUACCGGUGGCGAAGGCGGCCCCCUGGACAAAGACUGACGCUCAGGUGCGAAAGCGUGGGGAGCAAACA